GACAAACACCGCUGCUUGGGUUCGACAGAGCUCUGACCACGCCAUCUGCUCCAGCUCCUUUGGGCUGGGUUUUGGGGGGGGAUGAAAUCAGGACUUUUGUUAUAUAAUAGCCCAGGGCUGCUAUAAAUGUGAACCAGAGCGGUGGUGUGGAAAGCAGGAGCCUGUGCCUGCUGCCUGGGGCUGGCUGUGGCGUUGCUGGCUGGGGAAAUGUGACCCAGCCUCUGCCCAGUGCUCGCUGGGGGGUUGCUGGGGACAUCUUCUUGUGCUGUCCGGGCUCAGCUCGGUUGUCCCAGGGGAGUGAAAGCUCUUUGGUGGCUGCAGAGGGAUCCCGGGGUAACUUGUCCAGGGUGCACAGCAAGCCGGGUGAACCCCUGCUGGUGAAUCCCUCGGGCGGGUGAGGUGUGGCUGUAGCAGGGAAACCUCUGCUGGCGUGCCUGGACACACUGGGACCAGAGCUGGCAAGGCUGGAUCAGUGCAGGCACCCCUGGCCGCCUCGUGCAGAGGGUUUUAUCUGCCUGGGACAGGCUGGAGGAGGAGACGUGUCCCAUGUUUGUCUCGAAAGCAAGCUCCUUCAUGCACCGUUGUGCCAAAGCAAGCAUGCAGCAGUGCUUAAAGCAGGGGGAUGUGGGUGAGACUGAGCGAGUUGUGGCCAAAGCUGGGUGAAAAGAUGGAGAAAAACAGAGGGAGACAGCUAGGAAGGCAGCACUUGGCUUGGAUGCACGUCUUGGAAAGUGUCUUCCAACAAAAGAGCUUCUUGGGCAUGGUGCAGGCUUUAAGCAGGACAGGCUGGGCACCUCAGACAAACUUUUCUGAUGCACAUGGCCAGGAAGGCAGCCCCGCAUGGCUUCAGGAGGGCACAGCUACGCUGUAGUUUGUUUGUCUGCCUCUUUACAUAAAGUCUGUAAGCAUAUAAUGGGGGUCUAACUAAUACUCCUCACAAAUAUACGAGCCUUCAAAAAUAUUAUUUUCCCCACUGAAAUCCAUCCCAAAUCAAACAGAUUUGAAGGAGAAAUGAUGAAAAAAGAGCCUGAAUUCACUGCUUUUCUGCCUGUGCUGCCCUCUGUGAGUACCCUGUGCUCUCACCCCCUUACUUUUUCCUAGGGGAAAAGCUUUUUUUUCCUAUAGGGAUUUUUUUUUUUUUCCCUACAGAAAAUCCUGGUGCAGCAGCAAGUUGCAUUUACCAAUCCCAUUGAUUUAUCAGUCAAUGCCAUUCCUGCUUGCCCUGGCUUGCUGUUAGCAGAGGGACUUGCGGUUUUAUGCCAGGCUGUGCUGGGUGCACAGCUCUGCGAUAUCAGUCCAGGAGAGCUGUUAUCUUCUGUGCUGGCGGAAAACAAACCUGAAUGGCUGGAGGAAGGCCCCUUUGUGCACUAUUUGCAUGUGCUGGGAUGGGGGGAUUAACCUGGGAGGGUGAUUUGGGGCGGCAAGCCCACCUGAGCCCAGCCACCCAAACAGAGCUGGAGCAAGCCCGGCUUUGGGGAUAUCCAGAUUUGGGCUGAUACAAGGGAACUGCCUCUGCACGGGGAAGAUAGAGCCCUUCAGGGCCUCUCUGCAGAAAGCUCUGGCUGCCCAGAAAUAUCCUCGGCCGGCUUCUGUUGGAGACUGCCUCCCUCUAGUGAGGGCGAGCGCAACGCACACGCACGGCCCGGUGCCUUGGUCUCCGUGCUGCGCGAGCUGCAGGUGCUGUGCAGGUCGUGGGUGCUGUGCUGGGUACAUCUUGGGUGUUAUUUUGCAUGCGUCUUGGGUGCUGUGCUGGGUACAUCUUGGGUGUUAUUUUGCAUGCAUCUUGGGUGCUGUGCUGGGUA
ensembl:lncRNA